AAGUGUUCCCAUGUUCUGCGGACGCCAAAAUAAGACAGAUUUGGGGAGUUUACUCUAUUAUUUUACCGUAAAUCUUUGAAAUUCUGGAACUAAUUAUAUAGAGGAUAUGUCUCAAUUUGUUCUGCAUUAAUGCCACAUUGGGAAUGGAGUCAGGGCCACAGCCAGAGCACAUACUCGAGCACAUGAAAUUGAUGAACUGAGACUUGCUGCUAGUCCCGAACACACCAUCUGGAAUUCCAGUCUGAGGUUACAAUUAGAACUUCUGACCCCAAAUUCAACUUUGCGGAGAAG
ensembl:misc_RNA